rnacentral:lncRNA from 1 species
CGCAGCAGCUCUCAGCAGAUAGAAAACUUUGCAGCAAAGAUGAAGAACCGCUUUCCUAAAGCUCCUGUCAAACAUCUCGGCACCUUUGUCACACUCGUUGUAAUUUUCAUCAACAAUGUUGUGCUUAACAACGACAUGGUGUGCAAUUGUGAAAAUAGAUGGAUUGGAUGUGAUGUCUACAUGGCUAUACCAUUCAUUGUCGUAUUUGUUUUAGAACUCUGGACGCACAAGACUUUGAGAUAUAUAUAUUACUGUAUGAGAAGUGGUGUUUUGAUUAUGUUUCAUGACAUAAUCAAGGCAGCGUGCAUCGGUUCACUGUGGGUCGUAUUCGUGCUCCUCGAUGGAGACUGGUAUGUUUGCUGUAUGACCAAAGACGAGGCAACCUGCAAAAAAUGUACGUUAGGUAAAUACAAAAAAAACAUCUCAGUUGAGGACGAACACACCAUCGCUGCACUGAAAAACGAGUCUAUGAUGAUUGCCUUGGGUGUGCUCAUUUGUUGCCUGCUAUUAGCUGCUAUAAUCUCAGGUUUACGGUGGAAAUGCUUCAAGGAUUCAGGUUUACGGUGUAAAUGCUUCGAGGAUUCAGGUUUAUGUUGUAAAUGCUUCAAGGAUUCAGAUUGUUGCGACAGAAAAACGUUAUACAAGCAAGUGAUUCUGGACGAGGAGGAAAAUGCGCUGAGAGAGUUUUUGACAGCAGCGGCGAAAGACAAGUUGAAAGAGACCUUCAUGGCAGACCCAGAAGCAGCAGGAAUAGCAGCAGACGCACCAGCAGCAGCAGCAGGAGUAGCAGCAGACGCACCAUCAGCAGCUGAAGAAAACAUCCAACUGCUGGAUACAGUGAAGGUGGAGACAGCCGCAAAGGGAACACUGGACCUUCCUUUACCAAAGGAAAGGACAUAAUGCCGUCAGGGAAGGUGUCUCCAUUAUGGAUGCGACUCCAGGUUCAUCGUGCAGUAAAGAUGCUAUGAUGCUUCAAACCUACACAUGGAGCUUUAAUCUGGGAUUUAAAUGUUUUUAUUGGGAUUUUUUUAAAUGUUAGGGUUAGAAAUGUUUCUAUGAUUUAUAUAUUUUGUAUUCGCUUGCAGCACCAAAUGCAACUCAAUCAAGUGUUUUGAUUACAUUUUCCUCUACAGUAGUUUAGAUGUUGCUUUCACAGCUAGAUGUGACGUUUUACUCCAAAAACAUUUACAAAAGACUGAAAAAACAAAAAGGCUCAAACAUCUUGAGGAGAGCUUUACCCUGCAAGAUAUGUGCCGACUACAUCUAUGUAUAAAUAUACAUUUACGGUGUGACAGUUAAAUGAAGUGUUUGACUGUGUGUCACUCACCUUACAUUUAUUCUUUAAGGAUUAUGUGUAUCAUUAACAAGUUAUUCAACCUGUGAAACGUUCAUAAGAGUUUGCUUGCUGAAGUACUGAUAUACAAUUGUACUUGUUUAAACUUCUUUAGCGUUAUGUUUCAUUCAUAGAUUAAACUGUGUGUCAGGGGAGGAACUUUGUUCUCCUAAUGGAUGUCAUCAAGAGGAAGGGAAUAAAAGGGAUUUUAUUUGUAUCUUUUGUCAUUUGUAUUUUUGAUCACAUUGUUUAAGAAUGUUUUAUGGUUUUAUAAAGGUUGUG